rnacentral:rRNA from 1 species
AUCGAACGCUGGCGGCAGGCUUAACACAUGCAAGUCGAGCGGAGUGAUGGUGCUUGCACUAUUACUUAGCGGCGGACGGGUGAGUAGUGCUUAGGAAUCUGCCAUUUAGUGGGGGACAACAUUCCGAAAGGAAUGCUAGUACCGCAUACGUCCUACGAGAGAAAGCAGGGGAUCUUCGGACCUUGCGCUAAAUGAUGAGCCUAAGUCGGAUUAGCUAGUUGGUGGGGUAAAGGCCUACCAAGGCGACGAUCUGUAGCGGGUCUGAGAGGAUGAUCCGCCACACUGGGACUGAGACACGGCCCAGACUCCUACGGGAGGCAGCAGUGGGGAAUAUUGGACAAUGGGCGGAAGCCUGAUCCAGCCAUGCCGCGUGUGUGAAGAAGGCCUUUUGGUUGUAAAGCACUUUAAGCGAGGAGGAGGCUCUCCUAGUUAAUACCUAGGAAGAGUGGACGUUACUCGCAGAAUAAGCACCGGCUAACUCUGUGCCAGCCGCCGCAGUAAAAC